UACAGAGGGGGCAAGCGUUGCUCGGAAUUACUGGGCGUAAAGGGCGCGUAGGCGGGAUGGCAAGUCGGUCGUGAAAUCCCUCGGCUCAACUGAGGAGCGUCGAUCGAUACUGCCGUUCUUGAGGAUUGCAGAGGAGACUGGAAUUCCCGGUGUAGCGGUGAAAUGUGUAGAGAUCCGGAAGAACACCGGUGGCGAAGGCGGCCCGCUGGGCAGGAAGGCUCGCAAGAGCCGGCUGACGCUGAGGCGCGACAGCGUGGGGAGCAAACAGG
rnacentral:rRNA from 1 species